CCUACGGGAGGCAGCAGUGAGGAAUAUUGGUCAAUGGGCUUACGCCUGAACCAGCCAAGUCGCGUGAGGGAAGACUGCCCUAUGGGUUGUAAACCUCUUUUGUCAGGGAGCAACGCCGGCUACGUGUAGCCGGACUGAGAGUACCUGAAGAAAAAGCAUCGGCUAACUCCGUGCCAGCAGCCGCGGUAAUACGGAGGAUGCGAGCGUUAUCCGGAUUGAUUGGGUUUAAAGGGUGCGUAGGCGGAAUGCCAAGUCAGCGGUAAAAUCGCGGGGCUCAACCUCGCUCCGCCGUUGACGCUGGCGUUCUUGAGUGGGCGAGAGGUAUGCGGAAUGCGUGGUGUAGCGGUGAAAUGCAUAGAUAUCACGCAGAACUCCGAUUGCGAAGGCAGCAUACCGGCGCCCAACUGACGCUGAAGCACGAAAGCGUGGGUAUCGAACAGGAUUAGAUACCCGAGUAGUC
rnacentral:rRNA from 1 species